AGGAGUGGUUUUUAUUACUUACAAUAAUAAAGUCCCUUGUGGCACUUCUA
rnacentral:tRNA from 1 species